rnacentral:rRNA from 1 species
AGAGUUUGAUCCUGGCUCAGGAUGAACGCUGGCGGCGUGCCUAACACAUGCAAGUCGAGCGGUAUACAUUGGAAUGAUAUUUCGAUUGAGUGAAGAUGUAGAGAGCGGCGGACGGGUGAGUAACGCGUAGGCAACCUGCCCCAUACAGAGGGAUAGCCUCGGGAAACCGGGAUUAAAACCUCAUAACGCGAGAAGUUCACAUGGACUUUUCGCCAAAGAUUUAUCGGUAUGGGAUGGGCCUGCGUCUGAUUAGCUAGUUGGUAAGGUAACGGCUUACCAAGGCAACGAUCAGUAGCCGACCUGAGAGGGUAAUCGGCCACAUUGGAACUGAGACACGGUCCAAACUCUUACGGGAGGCAGCAGUGGGGAAUAUUGCACAAUGGGCGAAAGCCUGAUGCAGCAACGCCGCGUGAGCGAUGAAGGCCUUUGGGUCGUAAAACUCUGUCCUAAGGGAAGAAAAAAAUGACGGUACCCUAGGAGGAAGCCCCGGCUAACUACGUGCCAGCAGCCGCGGUAAUACGUAGGGGGCAAGCGUUAUCCGGAAUCACUGGGCGUAAAGGGUGCGUAGGCGGCUGAUCAAGCCAGGGGUGAAAGGCAAUAGCUUAACUAUUGUGAGCCUUUGGAACUGGUCAGCUUGAGUGCAGGAGAGGAAAGCGGAAUUCCUAGUGUAGCGGUGAAAUGCGUAGAUAUUAGGAGGAACACCAGUGGCGAAGGCGACUUUCUGGACUGUAACUGACGCUGAGGCACGAAAGCGUGGGGAGCAAACAGGAUUAGAUACCCUGGUAGUCCACGCUGUAAACGAUGUCAACUAGGUGUUGGGACGGUUAAUCGUCAGUGCUGAAGCUAACGCAUUAAGUAUUCCGCCUGGGGAGUACGGUCGCAAGACUGAAACUCAAAGGAAUUGACGGGGACCCGCACAAGCAGCGGAGCAUGUGGUUUAAUUCGAAGCAACGCGAAGAACCUUACCAGGUCUUGACAUCCCUCUGAAUGGCGCUUAGCAGCGCAGGUCUUUCCGGCUGGGUGACAGGUGGUGCAUGGUUGUCGUCAGCUCGUGUCGUGAGAUGUUGGGUUAAGUCCCGCAACGAGCGCAACCCUUGUCCUUAGUUGCCAUCAUUUAGUUGGGCACUCUAAGGAGACUGCCGGUGUUAAACCGGAGGAAGGUGGGGAUGACGUCAAGUCCUCAUGGCCCUUAUGUCCAGGGCUACACACGUCUACAAUGGCCGGUACAACGAGAAGCGAAACCGCGAGGUGAAGCAAAUCUUUUAAAGCCGGUCCCAGUUCGGAUUGCAGGCUGAAACUCGCCUGCAUGAAGUUGGAAUCGCUAGUAAUCGCGGAUCAGCAUGCCGUGGUGAAUGCGUUCCCGGGUCUUGUACACACCGCCCGUCACACCAUGG